rnacentral:rRNA from 1 species
UACGUAGGUGGCAAGCGUUGUCCGGAUUUACUGGGCGUAAAGAGCGCGCAGGCGGCUGGCCAAGUCCGAUGUGAAAUCUCCCGGCUUAACUGGGAAACUGCAUCGGAAACUGACCGGCUUGAAGGUGGGAGAGGGUAGUGGAAUUCCCGGGUGUAGUGGUGAAAUGCGUAGAUAUCGGGAGGAACACCAGUGGCGAAGGCG